UACAGAGGGUGCGAGCGUUGUUCGGAAUUAUUGGGCGUAAAGCGCAUGUAGGCGGGUUGUUAAGUCGCGUGUGAAAGCCCCAGGCUCAACCUGGGAAGUGCGCGCGAAACUGGCAACCUUGAGUGCUGGAGAGGGUGGCGGAAUUCCCGGUGUAGAGGUGAAAUUCGUAGAUAUCGGGAGGAACACCAGAGGCGAAGGCGGCCACCUGGACAGACACUGACGCUGAGACGCGAAAGCGUGGGGAGCAAACAGG
rnacentral:rRNA from 1 species